rnacentral:tRNA from 1 species
UACUAUUUUGGCAGAAAAAUGUAAUGAUUUUAGAAUUCAUGAAUAUAUAAUAUUUAUAAUUAUAUAGAUAGUAU